rnacentral:rRNA from 1 species
GGGUCAGCAGGUUGGUCGUGCCACUGGUAUGUACUGGCCUUGCUGAUUCCUCCCUCUUGAUGAGCCGUAAUGCCAUUAAUUUGGUGUUGCGGGGAAUCAGGACUGUUACUUUGAAAAAAUUAGAGUGUUCAAAGCAGGCAUAUGCUCGAAUACAUUAGCAUGGAAUAAUAGAAUAGGACG